GCGGGGGUACCCGAGUUUGGUCUAAGGGGCAGGGCUUAGGACCCUGUGCUUAGUGCUUCGAGGGUUCAAAUCCCUCCCCCCGCA
rnacentral:tRNA from 1 species